GAUGAACGCUGGCGGCGUGCCUAAUACAUGCAAGUCGAGCGAACAGACGAGGAGCUUGCUCCUCUGACGUUAGCGGCGGACGGGUGAGUAACACGUGGAUAACCUACCUAUAAGACUGGGAUAACUUCGGGAAACCGGAGCUAAUACCGGAUAACAUGUUGAACCGCAUGGUUUAACAGUGAAAGACGGUCUUGCUGUCACUUAUAGAUGGAUCCGCGCCGCAUUAGCUAGUUGGUAAGGUAACGGCUUACCGAGGCAACGAUGCGUAGCCGACCUGAGAGGGUGAUCGGCCACACUGGAACUGAGACACGGUCCAGACUCCUACGGGAGGCAGCAGUAGGGAAUCUUCCGCAAUGGGCGAAAGCCUGACGGAGCAACGCCGCGUGAGUGAAGAAGGUCUUCGGAUCGUAAAACUCUGUUAUUAGGGAAGAACAAAUGUGUAAGUAACUAUGCACGUCUUGACGGUACCUAAUCAGAAAGCCACGGCUAACUACGUG
rnacentral:rRNA from 1 species